rnacentral:rRNA from 1 species
GACGAACGCUGGCGGCGUGCCUAAUACAUGCAAGUCGAGCGGAUGACGGAGGAGCUUGCUCCUCUAGAUUCAGCGGCGGACGGGUGAGUAACACGUGGGCAACCUGCCCUGUAGAUUGGGAUAACUCCGGGAAACCGGGGCUAAUACCGAAUAAUCCUUCGGACCUCAUGGUCCGAUGUUGAAAGACGGUUUCGGCUGUCACUACAGGAUGGGCCCGCGGCGCAUUAGCUAGUUGGUGAGGUAACGGCUCACCAAGGCCACGAUGCGUAGCCGACCUGAGAGGGUGGUCGGCCACACUGGGACUGAGACACGGCCCAGACUCCUACGGGAGGCAGCAGUAGGGAAUCUUCCACAAUGGACGAAAGUCUGAUGGAGCAACGCCGCGUGAGUGAAGAAGGUUCUCGGAUCGUAAAACUCUGUUGUGAGGGAAGAACAAGUACCGGAGUAACUGCCGGUGCCUUGACGGUACCUCAUUAGAAAGCCACGGCUAACUACGUGCCAGCCGCCGCGGUAACAC